AUGCAUGGUCUUCGGGAACUGAUGAAGGUCUAUAAUGGCCCAAUCGAGUUGGAGAUGGAUUGUCUCACACUGGCCAGGGCGCUUGCACCGGGAGAGGCCAGUCAAUCUUGUCUAUUUCCAAUCAUUGCUGAUAUCAGAUCUCUGCUGGAUGGGUUCACCUCCUAUAGGAUUGGAUGGACUAAGAGAGAGCGGAACAGACUAGCACACUACCUGGCAUUCAGAGCGAAAACCACAGGGGACUUCUUCCAGAUGGCCUCAGUCCCUGUAGAGCUAAAUGAGAUCUCAAAAAUGAUUGUAACCUUGUCGAUUAGGUCCUAG
rnacentral:rRNA from 1 species